GUGUUUAUAUCCUCUCUCAUGCCUUGAAACAUCUGUCUUAGGAGCAGACAAGAAGCAAACAAAGAAUGACCUUUGAACAGCCCAGUGUUACGUGUUUUAGUUGGGAAGGAGUUGAGGCUGUGGCAAAAGCUGAGUACAGCAUACACUACUGGAUUGCAAAGGAGUAUUUCAGUACUUCUGAAAUUGGCAGAGCACUUCUUAGGUCUGAAGAGAGUUAUGUUGGUUUGUUUAGGGAUUGGAUCUUGGAUCGUGUGUUUCAUGGUAAGGAAAGCAAUGGUUUCCCACAUACCUGGAUUGAAUCUUGGCAGCAGUGAGACCUUUCAUACCAAAGCUGCCAGAGCUGUACAUCCUUGAAGACACUUUCGUAGAAAGAAGACUGGAGUAAUGUGGCCAAUAGCAAAAUAUGAGUAUUCAUGGAGGCCUUCUGCUGAAGAGAAAUGUUCUGGGUACCGUGAACUGCCACAGCAGCAUACAUCUGGAGGAGCAGGAGAUGCACAACAAUCUCCAUCUACUUAGCCCAGCAGAAACCUAGCGAGAGGCCUGUUUAUCAUUUGGACUCAUCGCUUCGCGUUGUAUCUGUGCUUUACAGAAGGCUUCCACAAGCCAAAGCAGGCAUUGGGACAAACCUGCAACAACAUCAGGCUUCAGAGUUGGUAUGAAAGACAGGCAUAAAGGGGAUGAAAAAGGAUAGUCAUACCCCAGGUAAGGGUGUUGCCUUAAAAAUGUAGAUAUGGUAAUUAUUUUAUGUUUGUGGACUGUAGCUUGAAUAUACAGACAUAAGAGAUACUGUCUAUCGUAUUGAUGCCUAUGCAUAUUACAUUUUCUGUAUGUGCUUCUAGAAUUAUAUGAUAAUGUCAAGUUAUGAAAUAAGUAGUAUUAAGCUUGAAAAGCAAACUUCCAUAUCCUGCAGUGAUUCGGGGCAUCCCCAAAACAAACUCUGCUCAUGCUUUGUGAUCCCUCUGUGGUAUGUAUAUCUCAGGUGGAAGGUGAGUUCGUCUGACAGUUGUAAUCUCAAACCCACCUAACCUGAAAGCUGUUUGCAUGUGCAAAUUAUUUUGUAGUUUAGGACUAAUUAUAGACUAAGUAUUUCAUCCAAAUAGAAUAGCUUCCCUGCCCCACCCCCCAGAUUUUUUGCUAAAACACUUUAUACUUCCGCAGGAUUCCAGUACUGAUGAUGUAUAUCUUUGUGUGAGGCAUUGUCUGCUUUCUCACAAGGAGGACAAGCAUGAAUGUGAACUGCAUAAGGCCCUUUAUAAAAAUAUAUACAAAAAACUAAAAAUUUAAAAAAUCCUCCACCAAUAACCAGGAAUGCAAUGCCAUCCCCUUUGUUUUUAUCACAUAGUACUUCUACUCUAACCAGUAGACAAAAUAUUAAUUUUUAUCUUGAUGUUUCUCUGGCAGCUCUCAUCAAUUAGAUAGUUUUGCAAGGAAGCUUUUUUAAGCUAUUAAAUGGUUGUUUCACAGCCCAAGAUCGGUUGCCACUGGAUAGUAUUGCCAUAAGGAAAAUAAGAGCUUCCCAUUUGAAAAGGCCUUUUUCCCUCCUGUCAUCCCUUCAACCGGAGGAGACAACACUUCCCUUUCCACUAAAAAAAAAAAUUUUCCAUUGCCUGGUGCCUGAAAAUUAGAAUUCAACAAGGCUUAUGGAAGUACAGCUAGCUGUAGGUUAUCUGAUGGAGGUUUAUCUCUGUACACUGCUUUGUUAAAUGUUUUUACACGCCCUGUUUGGGUUUCCUGCCAGCACAGCCUCCUUCCCUGUCCUCCUCUGCCCUGUUGGCAUGUAAAUUGACGCCCACGCCAGGUGACUUUCUCUGGCCUGUGAUGUACUGAAGGUCAGAUUAAAUGCUGACAAUAGUGCCGUCUGGCUUGAAAAAUAGAUGGUAUAACUCAUGCUGCUGUUCACGUCCCUUUUCAGUUUUGUUUCUGGUGUCUUGGUUUUAGCUAGAAGUGUGUAGCACAUUUAAUAAACAUACCAGUAUCUCAACAUAUAUAUUAUGUAUGCAACAAAAACACCCAUGCUGACUACCUCAGAAAUUGCUGACUGGUCUCAGCAUAGCCCAGAACAGAAUGUAUUUAAGUUUCUAAUGUAGUCUGAAAGACAAAUUCUAUUAGUAAAUGAACAACAGAGAAGAAACAUCGGAGUGAUUUGUUGCAGGAGGCUGUUUUCUUGUGGAAACAAGGGAAUAUUAUAGCACUUGCUGAAGCUUAGAGCAACUCCUGGAUCCUCACUGAAAUCAAGCUUUGUGAUGAAAAGGCUUGUAGCUUGUUGGGCCAAGAGACGGGGAUUAUAAGAAUAUUCAUGACUCCUGAGAAUCAGCAGGUUGCACUCCUGAGCCCUGGUGCCCACUGAUGGCUCAUUUUUGUCACGAGAGAAGGUGUUGGCUGUAUCAUCAUAUCAUCGGCAAGCCUUGAAAAGCCUCUGAGCCUAGGACUCUCCAAGACACACAGAUGUCUUCAGCUGGGCUGGGCCCCUGUUAGUAGGUGCGUUCAGCUCCAGGAUGAAGACAAGUUGAAGCUGUAUUUGUUCCUUUCCUGACACAGCUAUCUAAGCAGGUUUGUGUCAGGAUGAACAGAGUGCUCCAGAGCUCCAGGAUGCAAUUGAGCACAAGCCGGAAUAAGACAAGAGCCUUAUUGAGCCUGUCCCAGCCAGGAGUCUGUCCCCGCCAAGCCCGUCGGGCACACACCAUCAUCCCCUGUGUGGGCAGAGCACGUGGCGGCUGCUGGAUGCAGGGAUGGGGCAUGCUGCAUUUGUGUUACAGACAGAGCUGGAGCAAUAGGCUUUUGUAUAGCAGAAAUAGCCCACAGAGUCCCAGAAUUACUUCCCACUGGCUUCCCUUUGGUUCAUCAGUUUCAGUAUCUUGGUGGGUAGAGUCAGCAACGUGUCUUAGAAGCCAUCUGUUACUCUGGCCUGGGAGAGAAGGCUGAAAUACUCAAAAGUGGACAGUGUAGGGAGAAAAAUCUCUACAAAGCAGCAGAUUUUUUUUUCCAUUUUAUGGAGCAUAUUUUCACAUUUCCACUAGUCUAAACUCUCCAGGAAUUUUUGCAGGAACAGGCUCAGUUUCAUGUUAAGUCUCUUGCUUUUCCAGCUUUUUAUACGGAGACUACUGCAACAGAAUUGGAAGACAGUAUUAUAUGUGUAAGGACUAAGUCACUAUUUACCUGCAUGACUUUAACCCGAUUAACAGUGUCACUAAAUCUUUGUGCUCUGUGUUGCAGGCAGUGCUGUGAUGGCAGUGUGUGUGAAUACACUGGAUAGCUUGAAACUGGGAACUGUUGCUAGUGAGCUUGUCACUGUGGCACAGAGCACAGCACAGUGCUCCCAAAAUGCAAGGUAAUCACCAGGACAGAUGGCCCAGGAGGACCAUCAUCUGACCCUGGUGAUACCUGAGCUAGAGAGUUAGACAGCAGCAUGAGUGUCCCUGCACCUCCACGUAGUCAUGUAGGCAGCUUCGCCAUAGACACGCUCUGUGUAACUACUUUGAACUCUGUUCCCAAGCAUGAAAGAGAGAGGUUUUCUUAUCUAAAUACUCAAAUCCAUCCUCACAUAAGGACAGGAGACAGGUUAGUGUGGAUCACAGGAAUGAAAAGCUUCUCCCAAACUUCCAUCCACCAGAUGCUCCACUAGUUUUCUUGCACGUACCUAGAAUCACCCCUCCUUUCUGCAGUGCGCAGCUCUCCAGCUCCUUACAAACUCAGACAAGUGCUUGGGUACUUCUGUUCUGCAGCAGCUGGAAAAAUAACAGGCAUUUCCCAUGAGAAGUUGUGAAGUAAUUAAAAAAAUACAGAGAAAUUAAACAAUAAAUGGAUAAAAAUAUAAUACUUUCCCAUGAAACAAAAGAAAUGUUGUGUUAUAACCAACCAUUCUUCAUCAGAUAAUACUGCUGAUGUAAGAACUCCUGCCAGCUGGCAUGUAUCCCAUCUUUCAUUUCCACCAGGAAGUGGGGAGAGAGAAGGAAAUGGUUGGGAUCCUCCAGGAACAUGCUGACAUGGAAAACCCCACCACCUUUGUACUGGAAAGAUGCUGCAAUCACCUCUUCUAAAACAACUUUAAAUAAGAGCUGGGGAGAAUUAUCCACAAGGCACAGAAUUCUUGUAAACUUUGCUAUCUGGCCAGGUGGGGAGACAUUUUUCUCCUCUAUUUAACUUGCCUGUUAUUUCCUCCUUCUGGCAUUUAUUAAUCUGACUGGUUAACCAUUGAGUCCAGCCUGAAAACAGAUCUCAUCACAAAUCCUGUUCUCCAUGGUGGACUCGGAAAAGGCUCUGGCUGAACAAACUCACUUCUCCUGUCUUUACUCUGAAGGGGAGAAUUAAAUGCUGAAGGCAGAUGUUUACCAUGAAAUUCACACUCAAGGUUUCCUGUGUGGAGCAGCUGAUAAUGCUAGGGACACUAGGAUUUCCAUUUGUAGACAGGCUCUGUUUUGACAGAGCCCUUCACGAUUCAUCAACAAUUCGGGUGCUUCUGGGCUAUGCAAUAUUCAUUGCACCCAUCCCACUCCUGAUAAACAGAUUCAGGAGCCCUAAUCACAGGGGUAGUAUAUUCAAUAACCAUUGCUCUUUAAUUGUUUCUGAUUUUUAUCUCUUUUUUCCCCCCAAGUUGUUUGGUUUUCUUUUCCUGCAGGAGGAUCAGUGUUUCUCUUUGAACCGACUUUUCCUUUCAACAUUUAUCAUUUGGGACUGCUCAAGUGCUGUUUUAGUGCAGAAGCUGCUUGCAAACUAUUUGUAGCAGCUGCUUUUUUCGAAGUUUGCUAUUUGCAGUGUGUGAUCGCUCACUUAAACCACCCGACAUUGCCCUUCCUUUCCCAGGCCUCCUGCCUCUGGUUGUCUCGUGUCUGACCCUGACAUCCAGCACGCUGCAGGACCACGAAGCCUUAAUCCCGGACUGUGAGCAGCAUGCUGUGAGUGACUAGUGAGAGGUGAACCACAACCAGGUGUGAUGUUCCCAGCUCCAGCGGGACUGUCUGCACGCCCAGGGACUGGCCUUUCUGCCUGGCAGUUUUGCAAAGACAGCCUCUGAGCCCUUGGAAGAUAUCUGAACACGUGUUUGGGAUAGAGGAACAAGUGAAAAAUAGCAUGAGGCAAAAAGAGAAAGUGAAGCUACAGACUGUUUCCAUCAGCAGAGUUGUCAUGUCCUAUGGUGUGUGUGUGGUUUUAUGUAACGUGGGGAUAAUUACUGGGUGGCUCUUUCCAUUUGCAUCUGAUUAUUAA